rnacentral:lncRNA from 1 species
GGGAGACUAUGCAAAUAAUAUGGGGUUAAACACAAAGAGACAAAAGAAAGCUCUUCUGUUAAAGUAAAUAAAAUCUCCUUGCUUUGUAUUCAGCUCUGGAAGGUUCACGAAUAUCCUUGUUUUCCGUAACCUUGCACAUUAUUGAGAAGAUCUUUCAUUUACUCUUAUUUUUUGCCAUUACCCUAAAUAUACUAUUUCCUUGCAACUUCUGAGACUGAGAUGUUUCUUUGUGCUUGACAUACCAUCAACAUCAGCAUGCAAAAGGCUUCAGAGAGAGUAGAAACUAACAAAACAAAAAACGAGAGGAACCUUUCAUAAUCAUUACGCUCUUGAUUUUCACAUACUUGUGCAAUAUGAUGUAUCCAAUAGUAGAUUUUUCAGAACAUAUUUUUAAACUGAGAGAAUUCAGAUUUGAUGACAUUGAAGAAAAAUCUCAGGGAAAGAGGCAGUUUUGCCUUUCUUACUCAGAAGUUACCUCACACCAUAGCUGUGUGCUCACUGGGAGAAUACUGUCAGUUUUAUAGAGGAACUAGUUGGAGGACGGGUAUUGAUUUGAGAACACAAAAUAAAAAAAUAGUGGAAUUUUACAGAUGUGAUGCUCACUGGAAGAAGCACUCAUAAUUGGAUGGCCACCAGAAUGUACACACAGUUGUUAUACCCAAGCACUGCUCAAGGUCACACUGCAAAAAGCUCCACAUGGUCUAGAGCCUGCAACCAAGCCACAUCACAGAGACGAGCAGUGCCACGUUCAACUGCUAAGAUCCAGAGUGAAACAGGACAGAAGCUGCUCCCUUCUUUGAGGAAAAACAGGGCCAGGAGCUGUCUCAUACCAAGCUACCAGAACUGUCAUUCUGCGUCCACCAUGACCAAGGACCAGGAUCUGCACCAGUUGUCCCUCAGACAAGAAAAGCUUGCUCUGAGAAGCAUCCCAAGUAAAUCUCCACCAUCCUGUCCUCAUUGGCACUUUGUUUUCUACUAAACUCUGGCAAAACCACAUGCCACGCUGGCAAAACUAGAAGAGAAAGAAAUGGAAGAGAGUAAUCAGCACCCAGUGAGCAGUACUGCUGCUUCCUUCCACCUGCCAGCUCUGCGCUGACCCUAGCAGUCAUGGGUGAUGAGGAUUUCAUGACCCACCGCCCUUUCAUUCACCAGAAGAAAAUGGAGAAGUAAUUGCCAGGGCACACCUGCAGCUGGGGGACAAGUCAUUGCCCCGGGUCUGCUGAGUCAGAAGAACAAGCAGCCACUGAAAUCAGAAAAUGAGCAUUCUUGUACAAUCCAGAGCUGAUGUCCAGGCAGGAAAUAGAAAUGGACUUUGGAAUAAAAAUCAACAAUUGCACA